GACGAACGCUGGCGGCGUGCUUAACACAUGCAAGUCGAACGGAAAGGCCCUGCUUUUGUGGGGUGCUCGAGUGGCGAACGGGUGAGUAACACGUGAGUAACCUGCCCUUGACUUUGGGAUAACUUCAGGAAACUGGGGCUAAUACCGGCUAGGAGCUCCUGCUGCAUGGUGGGGGUUGGAAAGUUUCGGCGGUUGGGGAUGGACUCGCGGCUUAUCAGCUUGUUGGUGGGGUAGUGGCUUACCAAGGCUUUGACGGGUAGCCGGCCUGAGAGGGUGACCGGCCACAUUGGGACUGAGAUACGGCCCAGACGCCUACGGGAGGCAGCAGUGGGGAAUAUUGCACAAUGGGCGGAAGCCUGAUGCAGCAACGCCGCGUGCGGGAUGACGGCCUUCGGGCUGUAAACCGCUUUCGCCUGUGACGAAGCGUGAGUGACGGUAAUGGGUAAAGAAGCACCGGCUAACUACGUG
rnacentral:rRNA from 1 species